GGCAGCUCGCAGCCCAGCGUUCCCGCCCUGGGGGCCGCCCGGGGGCAUAGGCGCUCGAGGAGCGCGUGUGCGGCGCCGCGAGCCUCAGUCCAAGCCCAGGAAGAUUGGCUAAUUAAGGAUGUUCACACCAAGUGGAACAAAUUAGCUGUUUCUACUGAUGAGGAACUGUAUCCAAAAAGAGAAGAAGAUGAAGAGAUAGUUCCUGAUUCGUCAUUGAUUGUGGUGCUAACACUGCAACUUCCAACUGCUGCCACAGUCUCCAGUAGGUCAUUGAACAGAGUAGAUAGGUUGGCUAAAGAGACAGAGCUGUGAACAACAAGAGAUUCUGCAUUUGUGGCUAGAGUAAGUUAAAUCCUUUAGGUAAGUGUUCUACCUCUUUGCUAUACUCUUCAAACUUAU
rnacentral:lncRNA from 1 species